rnacentral:rRNA from 1 species
CCUACGGGGGGCAGCAGUGGGGAAUCUUGCACAAUGGGCGAAAGCCUGAUGCAGCGACGCCGCGUGCGGGAUGAAGGCCUUCGGGUUGUAAACCGCUUUCAGCAGGGACGAGGCGAAAGUGACGGUACCUGCAGAAGAAGCCCCGGCUAACUACGUGCCAGCAGCCGCGGUAAUACGUAGGGGGCAAGCGUUAUCCGGAUUCAUUGGGCGUAAAGCGCGCGUAGGCUGCCCAGUAGGUCGAGAGUUAAAUCCGGGGGCUCAACCCCCGUCCGCUCCCGAUACCGCUGGGCUUCGAGUCUGGUAGGGGAAGGUGGAAUUCCCAGUGUAGCGGUGGAAUGCGCAGAUAUUGGGAAGAACACCGGUGGCGAAGGCGGCCUUCUGGGCCAUGACUGACGCUGAGGCGC